GCGGACGACACGUUGGUCGUGGCCCGGGGG
rnacentral:sRNA from 1 species